AUUCGGAAUCAACGAAAGUAUGAUUCUAAUCAUGUAGAUUAAUCUCCGAUAAUUAGAUUAGAUUUUUUGAUAUUAUGCAUAUGCGCUAUAACCGGGUUGUGGGAAAUUCCGCAGUCCUUAGCAAUAGCAACAUUGUCAUGUAAUAAUUAUUUUUCGAAGCAUGGGACUCCACUAUUUUUAGGAGAUUUUAUUUUCUUGUAUUCUGGAACUCCACUGUUUUGGAGAUUAUUGUAACUCCACUACUAUGAAGAAUACGAUCUGAUCUGUUGUAAACAAAGAAGUGGAAGAAUAGUAACGGCACAAUAACUGGGGGGAAGAUGAAAAACGUGUGUUUGAUUUGUUUUUAGGUCGAUCCCUGUCAUCGGUGCACUGCCCCUGAACCCCCGUGCGUUACAAUUGGUAAAUAGGAUUCUUGGUGGUUCCAUGAUGCAACUAAAUAAAUGAUGACUUCUUGACCAUAAAAGCUAGGUCUUGAUUAAAUUUGUUUUUAUACUUAUUUGUCUAUGAUUAUUAUCUUUUAUGUUCUUAUUAUUAUGUUUUAGGCAGGUGAGAACAUGGAAAUCGAGAAUGACUUUUCAGUUUGUGUUUAAAUAUAUAAAUUUAAAAUUUUAGUUUUGAUUUAUAAAUGUUCACAAGAGUAAAAAUAAUUUCUAUGUUUUAAUUUUUUUAAAUUAAGGGAAUUUAAAAUUUUAUUUAUUGCACAUUAUGAGUUACCAUAUUGAAAGAUUAUAUUUUUUGGUAUUUAAACACAUGACAUCCCUCAUGUUUAAUAUCUAAGCUAGGUGAGGGAAUUUAUUAUGUAUAAAUCCCAUGGUCUCCAUCAACUAAUUUAUAGUGAAAUAAUUUAUUCUAUGUAUGGGUUUUAGUACCAAUCUCCCCAUCGGAUGGAAUAAGUUACGGACUCAUUGAGUAUAAACUCUGGUAGUUGUUAGUAUUGGGAUCAACAGGGUCUCUACAUCGGAGCUCGAUCGACACCAACGGUCAGCGAGGAUCCCAACAACAUGUUAGAGUUAGAGGGUAACUUACACGGUGAAGCUUCCUUUGAUGCCCGCACGUCUGGAUUGAGACGAUGGCGACGUGAUGGGCUAACUACCAACCAUGUCUUAGAUACAUGAUUGAGUCAGCCGCCUAUUCAUUUACAACAGUCGGCGCGUCUAGGCAAGCGCCGAACUGUAGUCUAUCUACUGACAUGGCGGUUGGCGCAUCCAAGCACCCUCUGAACUGCACUAUAAAAGGCCACCCUUUCUCUUUCAAUGGUAUGCAAUUUCAGCUAUAUCAAGCUAUAUGCCAUUUCUCUCUUUAAAACACUUGCAGUCACUAGCUUGAUCGUCAGAGAGCCUUCAUAGAACAACUCUAACAAUCCUUUCUCACCCUUCCUGUCUUGCAAAUCUGUCUAGAAAGCCUACAACCACCAUCAACCGCUGACCAGUCACCAUAGGUGUCUAUUUUCAAUUUUCUUUCUUCCAUUUUCGUAUCGACUACCCCACAAUUGGCCCAUUUUGUGGAAAAUUGACCAUAGACAUCUCUAAAAGCAUGAACGAUGACAAAGGUAGUCAUGAAGCCAAAAGGGAGCAUCCUCUUGAGACCCGAACACUAGUUGAGAGGAGGAAUAAACUACUGGCUGAUGCUCAGAGAGAAACCAAGGGCCUGUCCGGGAAAAAGGCCAGGUCAAUUACUCCUCAAAGGCAAAGAAAACAAUCGGGAUGCUAUCAUAAGGGGUUUAAAAGCUCAAAUGGCAAAGCUGCUGCAGGUCUUAGUGGCUAAUAAUUUGAUAAAGCUAACCAUUAAGGCUAGUGAAGGGCCGUUUGAGGUAAGGUCGACUCGAUAAGAAAAAAAAGCAAAAUCUUACUACAGACUGAGAGCCAAGUGAUAAAAUCGUGGCAUUGAGCAAAUGAAGGGUACCACCGAGUUGAUUUACCACCGACGUGGAACUUCAUCAUAUCCUUAAC
rnacentral:lncRNA from 1 species